rnacentral:rRNA from 1 species
CCCUAGUAACGGCGAGUGAAGCGGCAAGAGCUCAAAUUUGAAAUCUGGCCCUCUCAGGGUCCGAGUUGUAAUUUGUAGAGGGCGCUUUGGCGUUGGCCCCGGCCUAAGUUCCUUGGAACAGGACGUCACAGAGGGUGAGAACCCCGUACGUGGCCGCCGGCCUCCGCCGUGUAAAGCCCCUUCGACGAGUCGAGUUGUUUGGGAAUGCAGCUCUAAAUGGGAGGUAAAUUUCUUCUAAAGCUAAAUACUGGCCAGAGACCGAUAGCGCACAAGUAGAGUGAUCGAAAGAUGAAAAGCACUUUGGAAAGAGAGUCAAAAAGCACGUGAAAUUGUUGAAAGGGAAGCGCUUGCAGCCAGACUUGCCUGUAGUUGCUCAUCCGAGCUCCCGCUCGGUGCACUCUUCUGCGGGCAGGCCAGCAUCAGUCCGGGCGGUCGGAUAAAGGCCUCGGGAAUGUAGCUCCCCUCGGGGAGUGUUAUAGCCCGGGGUGCCAUGCGACCAGCCUGGACUGAGGUCCGCGCAUCUGCUAGGAUGCUGGCGUAAUGGCUGUAAGCGGCCCGUCUUGAAACACGGACCAAGGAGUCUAACAUCUAUGCGAGUGUUUGGGUGUCAAGCCCGGGCGCGCAAUGAAAGUGAACGGAGGUGGGAACCCCUCGGGGCGCACCAUCGACCGAUCCUGAUGUCUUCGGAUGGAUUUGAGUAAGAGCAUAGCUGUUGGGACCCGAAAGAUGGUGAACUAUGCCUGAAUAGGGUGAAGCCAGAGGAAACUCUGGUGGAGGCUCGCAGCGGUUCUGACGUGCAAAUCGAUCGUCAAAUUUGGGCAUAGGGGCGAAAGACUAAUCGAACUAUCUA